rnacentral:rRNA from 1 species
GACGAACGCUGGCGGCGUGCUUAACACAUGCAAGUCGAACGGAGAGGCCCUGCUUUUGUGGGGUGCUCGAGUGGCGAACGGGUGAGUAACACGUGAGUAACCUGCCCUUGACUUUGGGAUAACUUCAGGAAACUGGGGCUAAUACCGGAUAGGAGCUCCUGCUGCAUGGUGGGGGUUGGAAAGUUUCGGCGGUUGGGGAUGGACUCGCGGCUUAUCAGCUUGUUGGUGGGGUAGUGGCUUACCAAGGCUUUGACGGGUAGCCGGCCUGAGAGGGUGACCGGCCACAUUGGGACUGAGAUACGGCCCAGACUCCUACGGGAGGCAGCAGUGGGGAAUAUUGCACAAUGGGCGGAAGCCUGAUGCAGCAACGCCGCGUGCGGGAUGACAGCCUUCGGGUUGUAAACCGCUUUCGCCUGUGACGAAGCGUGAGUGACGGUAAUGGGUAAAGAAGCACCGGCUAACUACGU